GUAUUUUCUGAUUCUGUUUGAAUUGUGAUGCCAAAUUUGGAAUUACAACUCAAACUAUUUUGGGCUAUGAUGAUAGAUUGGGUUAAGCCCAUUUCAGAUACUACAGCCCAUUGCCUGAUAACUCAACAAGAGUCCAAAACCCGAGCCCAACGUUUGGCCACGUGUGUUGCUCCGGACCAUUGGAUCCCCUAAACCUAAAUCUACCGUGAUGAGCCCUCAUAUAUAUACCAUCUGAUAUUUUUCCCUAAAAUCUAAUUUUUCAUUUUACGCGUCUUUCUUCUUCUCUCAGUCGGUGGAACUCUCUAGACCUAGGGUUUUCUGAACCGUCUCCUUUCUUCCUUCGAUCUCUCUUCGUCUUCUGUGUGGUUUUCCCCCUUGAAUCUUCUGUGAUCUUGGGUGGUAUCCUUUGUGAUCCAAAGAGUCUAUGUGAUUCUCAAAAAGGGAAAGGAGUAGAUACUGAUUUUGGGGAGUUCUCUAUCGGUUCGUUGAAGUAACCAUUUGGGGUUCUGUGUUGGCUUGGGAUUAUUUGGGGUUUCUUGUUGUACAGAAGGUUACAAUGUGUUCUGAGCCCAAAAAUCGAUGAUACCUUGAGUCGUGUGGUUGAAUGGAGUCUGUGAUGUUUAGAAACAAAUAUUUCUGAACUAUACUGAGUCUAUUUGUUUUGAUUCGGAUAUUACAGUGGUAUCAGAGCUUGGUGUGGAGUCUAAUCUCCGUUCGAAGAAGAUCUGAUUGUAAGAAAUUAAUUCUUACAGUCAGAUCUUAAGGGGUUAUCUAGGGUUUCGAUUUUUCCUGAAAACCCUAGAUCUGUUUUUGUUAAAUGAUCUCAUAUAUUCUCGAUUAAUAUUUCUAACUGUCUAUUGGACCGACGACUGUUACUUUGUGUGACUCAUUAGACCCCUGCAGGUGUAUCGUCAAGGGAACUCUUGGUUCGUGUGUUAGUCUUGAGGGACCAGUAGCGUUAUUGUGACUUUCUUGGUCGAUUAGUAGUCUUAACUUGACUACUACUUUGGUUUGCAUCCUCUACUUAACAUUUUUUCCUUCAAUCUGCAAUGCCAAAAUAUAUGUUAUAUGCAUGCUGAUUAAGAAGUAAAUUGUGAUAUAGUUGAAAUAGAUCUUCCUGUGAACUGCAAUAUACGUUUGUAGUUAAAAUUUGUCGGUAAACUGCAUUCGCUUAUUGUUUCAUUGUGAUACAUUCAUAAUAUCUUUAUUUUGGAUUCUGAUGUCCCAAAUUGAGCCUUGACAUGAGGACUUGAUCUUCACGGAAUCCUGGUGAAUUUGGGCAUUUGGGGUCUGAAGUGUAUUGCAUCAUUCAUUUUAUCAUUCCUAGAUAUUGUGAAUUUGAUUUGAUUCUUAUUACCUUUCAAACUGUAUUCUGU
rnacentral:lncRNA from 1 species